rnacentral:rRNA from 1 species
CUGUGGGUGGCGAGCGGCGGACGGGUGAGGAAUACAUCGGAAUCUACCUUCUUGUGGGGGAUAACGUAGGGAAACUUACGCUAAUACCGCAUAAGACCUGAGGGUGAAAGCGGGGGACCGUAAGGCCUCGCGCGAGAAGAUGAGCCGAUGUCCGAUUAGCUAGUUGGUGAGGUAAAGGCUCACCAAGGCGACGAUCGGUAGCUGGUCUGAGAGGAUGAUCAGCCACACUGGAACUGAGACACGGUCCAGACUCCUACGGGAGGCAGCAGUGGGGAAUAUUGGACAAUGGGCGCAAGCCUGAUCCAGCCAUGCCGCGUGUGUGAAGAAGGCCUUCGGGUUGUAAAGCACUUUUGUUGGGGAAGAAAAGAUUCGGGUUAAUAACCUGGGUUCAUGACGGUACCCAAAGAAUAAGCACCGGCUAACUUCGUGCCAGCAGCCGCGGUAAUACGAAGGGUGCAAGCGUUACUCGGAAUUACUGGGCGUAAAGCGUGCGUAGGCGGUUUGUUAAGUCUGUCGUGAAAGCCCCGGGCUCAACCUGGGAAUGGCGGUGGAUACUGGCAAGCUAGAGUACGGUAGAGGAUGGUGGAAUUCCCGGUGUAGCAGUGAAAUGCGUAGAGAUCGGGAGGAACAUCUAUGGCGAAGGCAGCCAUCUGGACCAGUACUGACGCUGAGGCACGAAAGCGUGGGGAGCAAACAGGAUUAGAUACCCCUGGU